UAAGCGGAGGAAAAGAAACUAACAAGGAUUCCCCUAGUAACUGCGAGUGAAGCGGGAAAAGCUCAAAUUUAAAAUCUGGCGGUCUUUGGCCGUCCGAGUUGUAAUUUAGAGAAGCGUCUUCCGCGCUGGACCGUGCACAAGUCUCCUGGAAUGGAGCGUCAUAGAGGGUGAGAAUCCCGUCUUUGGCACGGAUGCCUGGUGCUUCUGUGAUGCGCUCUCGAAGAGUCGAGUUGUUUGGGAAUGCAGCUCAAAAUGGGUGGUGAACUCCAUCUAAAGCUAAAUAUUGGCGAGAGACCGAUAGCGAACAAGUACCGUGAGGGAAAGAUGAAAAGCACUUUGGAAAGAGAGUGAAACAGUACGUGAAAUUGUUGAAAGGGAAACGCUUGAAGUCAGUCGCGUCGACCGAGACUCAGCCUUGCCUUGGCUUGGUGUACUUCUCGGCCCGACGGGUCAGCAUCAAUUUUGCCCCUCGGAUAAUGGCANGGGAAAGGUGGCACCUUUACGGGUGUGUUAUAGUCUCCUGUCGAAUGNGAGGGGUGGGAUUGAGGAACUCAGCGCGCACCUCAGUGUCGGGGCUUCGGCCCACGUCACGCGCUUAGGAUGCUGGCGUAAUGGCUUUAAACGACC
rnacentral:rRNA from 1 species